AUUAUUUUGGCAGAUUAGUGCAUUAAAUUUAGAAUUUAAUUAUGUAGUAAAAUUACAAAUAAU
rnacentral:tRNA from 1 species